rnacentral:lncRNA from 1 species
UCUUCUCUAAUAAUUAACAAAUUAAAUUAGAUAAUUAAUUAAUCAAUUUAUAUUUUUUCUUUUUAGAUGAUUUAGAAAAAUUUGAGAAGAAAAAAUGUUGGGGAUAAGGGUGAGGAUCCCAAUAAACCCCAAUAGAAGAUUUUAAAAAAUUAAUUUGAUUAAUUUAAUUUAUUUUAUAAUAUUAAUUUAAUAUAUAUAGGAGAAUAGUCCAUC